rnacentral:lncRNA from 1 species
CUGCAUUGUUCCUGCCUCCUGCACAUGCCAGGGAAUGGACAGCAGGCAUUCUGGGAGGGUGAGGGUUGAGCUGUGGAAAAGGGUUGGGGAAAAAAAAGUAGUUCAGGAGUCAGAAAAUAGUUCACAAAUCUAAAAUUCCAUUCAGAGCUGCUUCUAAACACCGUCAUAGCAAAAAGUGUGGUAAGUUCUUUGUUUUCCUUCCCCAAAUGGAAUCGUUUUUUUCUUUUCCUUUUUUUUUUUUUUUUUUUGAGACGGAGUCUCACUCUGUCACCCAGGCUGGAGUGCAGUGGCGCUAUCUCAGCUUACUGCAACCCCUGCCUCCCGGGUUCAAAUGAUUCUCCUGCCUCAGCCUCCCAAGUAGCUGGGAUUACAGGUGUGCACCACCAUGCCUGGCUAAUUUUUGUAUUUUUAGUAGAGACAGGGGUUCACCAUGUUGGCCAGGCUGGUCUUGAACUCCUGACCUCAAGUGAUCCACCCCCCUUGGGCUCUUAAAGUGCUGGGAUUACAGGCGUGAGCCACCGUGCCCAGCCGGAUUUCAAAAAUAAUAUCUGUCAUUCCAAAAUAGUACUUAGGUGAUCAUUUUUCUUUCCCCCCAAAUAGUAUGACUGUUUAGUUUUAGAUCUUUUUCUCAUCCCUCAAAUAUAAAGAGCCUAGAAAUUUCUCUUGCUCCAUCAAUUCCAUUGAGAAAUAUUUCCUGGUAGCCACAAAGAUUAGAAAAAAAUACAGAAAAAAAAGAAAAAAUAUAGAAAGAAUAUUUUGACAAAGAAAUAUUUUGACUCUUGGAGGGAAUUUCUAACUCUUCUUACUUUAAUUUUAUAUAUUUAAGAUUAGAAGCAAAACAAAACAAAUGAACAAUAACCAAAAAUAAGCCCAAAACUAACCUUUUCCAAACUCUUAAAUACUGGGUUUCAAAACACAGUGUGGAGGAUGGUUACUUGAGUGGGUUUGGGUCACAUUGGAGUCCUGAUUCUGACCUUAAUCUAUCUUUCUUUCUUUUUUCUUUUCUUUUCUAUUUUUUUUGAAAUGGAGUUUCGCUCUUGUUGCCCAGGCUGGAGUGCAAUGGUGUGAUCUCGGUUCACUGCAACCCCUGUCUCCCGGGUUUGAGUGAUUCUCCUGCCUCAGCCUCCCGAGUAGCUGGGAUUACAGGUAUGCGCCACCACGUCCGGCUAAUUUUUGUAUUUUUAGUAGAGACGUGGUUUCACCAUGUUGGCCAGGCUGGUUUCGAACUCCUAACCUCAGGCAAUCCACCUGCCUUAGCCUCCCAAAGUGCUGGGAUUACAGGCGUGAGCCACUGCACCUGACCAAGAUCCUUAAUUUUUCUAAACCUACGUUUAUCAUCUAUAAAAUGAGCCAUCUUUUCACAUGGCUCUCAUAAGGAUUAAAUGCAAUCUUGUUUAAAGCACGUUGUAUAAAAUUUAUCUUAGCUAUUAUAGUAAGAAGUACAAAAGUGAAGGAAAGUAAUAAUCUUUGCGGGGGGGUCUAUGUGUAAGAAACCUCUCAGGAAGGAGCAGAACUGAACCAAGUGCUGAGGCAGAACCUCUGCUCUACAAAUAGCAUUUUUUUUCUUUUUAGCAAAUUGCAGAAGGAUAUGAUUCCUAACUUCCUGCAGGCUGAUUCAGUCCCAUGCCAGGGCACACGGCCGGUGAGUGGGCAGCUGCCCUAUUAAGGACUCAGCAAAGGAAUGAUUACUUUGGGGAACUGUCAAAUACGGAAAGCUAUUCGGAAGGCCCACAUGGAGAUGGCUGUUUCCUAAAUCACAGUUUCCCCAAUGUUUUCUAUUCCUCUGUGCUCUGAGGUGAUAACUUUUUCCUUUUUUUUCUCUUAUUUUUGUCUCUCUCAUUUUAUUUUAUUUUGUUUUAUUUUUGAGACAGAGUCUUGCUCUGUUGCUCAGGCUGGAGUGCAGUGGUGCAAUCUUGGCUCACGGCAACCUCCGCCUCUUGGGUUCAAGUGAUUCUCCUGCCUCAGCCUUCUGAGUAGCUGGGAUUACAGGCGCCUGCCACCACACCCAGCUAAUUUUUGUAUUUUUAGUAGAGAUGGAGUUUCACCAUGUUGGCCAGGCUAGUCUGGAACUCCUGACCUCAAGUGAUUCACCCACCUCAGCCUCCCAAAGUGCUGGGAUUACAGGUGUGAGACACUGUGCCUGGCCCUGUUUUUUAUUUUAUUUUUAUUUAUUUAUUUUUUUUUGAGACAGGGUCUCACUCUGUGGCUCAGGCUGGAGGGCCAGUGGUGUGAUCUCCGCUCACUGCAACCUCCACCUCCCAGGCUCAAGUGAUUCUCCCACCUCAGCCUUGCAAGUAGGCGUGCACCACCAUGCCCAGCUAAUUUUUGUAUUUUUUGGUAGAGGCAGGGUUUCACCAUGUUGG